GACAGAGGUGCCUAGCGUUAGGCGGAAUCACUGGGCUUAAAGCGUGUGUAGGCGGGACGUUAAGUGCCUUGUGAAAUCCCAUCGCUCACCGAUGGAACUGCUUGGCAUACUGGCGAUCUUGAGCCACUUAGGGGCAACCGGAACAAACGGUGGAGCGGUGAAAUGCGUAGAUAUCGUUUGGAACACCAAUGGUGAAAACAGGUUGCCGGGAGUGUGCUGACGCUGAGACACGAAAGCCAGGGGAGCAAACGGG
rnacentral:rRNA from 1 species